GGGCCCGCACAAGCGGCGGAGCAUGCGGAUUAAUUCGAUGCAACGCGAAGAACCUUACCAAGGCUUGACAUAUAGAGGAAAAGUGCAGAAAUGCACUCCCCGCAAGGUCUCUAUACAGGUGGUGCAUGGUUGUCGUCAGCUCGUGUCGUGAGAUGUUGGGUUAAGUCCCGCAACGAGCGCAACCCUCGUCCUAUGUUGCCAGCACGUAAUGGUGGGAACUCAUGGGAUACUGCCGGGGUCAACUCGGAGGAAGGUGGGGAUGACGUCAAAUCAUCAUGCCCCUUAUGUCUUGGGCUUCACGCAUGCUACAAUGGCCGGUACAGAGGGCUGCAAUACCGUAAGGUGGAGCGAAUCCCAAAAAGCCGGUCUCAGUUCGGAUUGAGGUCUGCAACUCGACCUCAUGAAGUCGGAGUCGCUAGUAAUCG
rnacentral:rRNA from 1 species